AGUCCUUGGGAGGAACGUUUUCCCCCUUUUCUGGUUUACAAGACCAGGGUAAUGUGCGACGCAACCUACCCUGGUCUUGCUAUACCUGGCAUCUGGUUCACGCACAUCACCCUGGUGGUGGUUACCUAGGCAUCUGGUUUAAGCACAUAACCCGGGUUUUGGUAUAUCUGGCACUGUG
rnacentral:tRNA from 1 species